rnacentral:sRNA from 1 species
UGACAGUGUUGUAUUUAAAUAUGAGCCUU